GAGAGAUUGAACUUCAUAUAUUUACAGACGCCAGUCAACAAGCAUAUGGCGCGUGUGCCUAUUUAGUCAAAGGGAACACGUCUAGUCUAAUCAUUACAAAAAACAGAGUCGCUCCGGUAAAAACUAUAACUUUGCCACGUUUGGAAUUAAUGGGUGCGCUGAUUGGCGCCAGAUUAGCAAACUAUUUAGUAGGAUUUAUUGACACACACAAGACAUAUUUUUGGAGUGACAGUCAAAUAGUGUUGAGUUGGAUAUCGUCAACAAAAAC
rnacentral:lncRNA from 1 species